UCAAUUAUUUAUGUGAUGCCCCCAUAUCCAGGUAUAUACCACUCAAUUUGAGUCGUCAAAAUACAUACUACAAACAAAAAAUUUCCUAUUUACAACUAUUAUAAUGUCAUGAAACAUACGACAACACACAAUGUGACGCCCCCAAAUCCGGAUUAUCUUUAACUCAAAUUUGGUGCUCACGAUACUAACAUACCCAUUCAUACUAUCAUAACCUGUCUUACAUUACAUAAAUAUCGUACUUAAAUCCCAAGUUUUAUAGACCUUUACAUAUCUUACAAACCAAAUAACAUUACAAAACAUAGUACUAACAAUAUUUAUUACAUCUACUUAAGUCCAUACAAGCACAAGCGCUUAAUAAACAUUUAUUCUGCAACUUUGCCUUUUCCUUUAUCUUUCUCAGAUGGACCAACGCCCUCGGUUUUAACUGAAAAUAUUAUAUUUAACGCAAGGGUGAGCAAAAGCUUGCUCAGCAAGGAAAUAAGCAGUUGAAUAUAAUGGAACAAAAAUAUUUAUAGCAACGAGGAUACAAUUCAAUAGAUAACGAACAAGACAGUUCUUCAAAAGUUUUAAGUCUGAAAAUCAGGCUUUAUCAUGCUUUAAGGUCAAAUGACCAGUGAACUCUGUACUAGAAUUGACAGUACUAACACUGCAAUCCAUGGAUACAAAAAGUUAUUGAAGCUAUUUUAUAUCCUAGACUUGUACUUUAGAGUAUCAGCCUAAGUACCCUACAUUGUGCACAACAUAACAGUCUAAUAUGUCCUUCGGAAUCAUAUGUCCAGUACAAUAUGCCCCUAUAAAAGGGUUGUUCAUUCACAGCAUUAUGUAAGAAUCCGCGCCACAACAAAAUGGUUUGAAAAACAUUAAAUGAGAUUUUCAUGAAUAAUAUCAAUGUAUCUUAACAGUUGUCUAACCGAAAUAAUGGCAUUGACAUUCUUUUAAUAUUAACUUAUUUAAGAGAAAAAAGUUUGAUAUACUUGAUAACAUCCUAACUAUUCUCUUGAAGCUGAUUGGAAUAAAAAGGUUAUUCAACUUUGUAUUAUUCAUAAAUAAUGAGUGACAGUUCAGAAUUUAGAGAAUCUGUCCAUAUACGAAUAAUUUUAGAAUACUUGCUCAAUAAAGAGUAAGAGUUAAAAACUUGCUUUGUUUGUAGAUUACUGAUACAGACUCAAUUUAACUAGUGUGUUUUCACAGGUCCUACACAAGUAUUUGCAUUUAUAAGCAUAUUAGCCAAAUGGUCAAUUCAUAUUAGCUUGUAUGUUCACAUAUCACAUGAUCACAGUGAUCAUGUUUUAUUCUAUACAUUAUUCAAAUACCUCAUCUAUGUCUUCACAAUAGCCAUUUUUCACUUUGAUGGGGAUCGACAUGCUUAUAACAUGCAAUAGGAAUCACCUUAAAGUUAUCAUUUACAUCUUAAUCAUGAUUUAUAGUUUCAUUUCAAUAUACUAAUACAUUAACUAUCUUUGUUUUUCUACAUUAUGCUAAAACAGCCCUUUGAGUAGACCUGGCAAACGGGCCGGGCGGGCCGGGCCGCACCCGGGCCAACAACGAGUCGGGCCAAAAUGGCCCGGGUUUUGGCGGGCUGCUAAAGUGAGGCCCGUGGCUCGGGUUGGGCCGGCCCAACCAGCGGGCUUCUUCCUCUAUUUUNNNNNNNNNNNNNNNNNNNNNNNNNNNNNNNNNNNNNNNNNNNNNNNNNNNNNNNNNNNNNNNNNNNNNNNNNNNNNNNNNNNNNNNNNNNNNNNNNNNNUACUACUAUAAUAUUUUUAAAUCUUUUUUUAAAUAGGAAAAGUUGAAAAUAACUCAUUGAGCAACUAAAUUAUAUAUGAACAUGCCUUAAUUAAGUCUUAAUAUAUAAAAAUAGUAGUAGAAUUUUGUAGCUUUAUUUUAUUUUGUUUUUUUAUUUUAUUUUUAAGUGAUAUUGGGAGAAAUGAUUGUAGAUCACACGACCUUCAAUCUGUAUUUUUUAUUAAAGUUAUUUUAAGAAGUAUGACAAAAAUAAAUUUAUGAGCACUUCUACAUACACAAGAAAUUGGGACAGAAAAAUUGGAUAUUUUUAAUUUAUUUAUUUUUGGCGUAUACUAGAUCUGGCAAACGGGCCGGGCGGGCCAACGACGGAUCGGGCAAAAUGGUCCGGGUUUUGGCGGGCUGGUAAAAUGAGGCCCGUGGCCCGGGUUGGGCCGGCCCGGCCCGCGGGCUUCUUCCACUAUUUUUUUUUUUUUAUAAAAUCUUGUUACACCAAAAAUAGUAAUAAUAAUAAAUAUUAAAAAUAAUAAAAUAAUUUAUAAUAAACAAUAUUUCUAAUUACCUACAAUAAUUCAACAGAUCUGUCAUGACGAAAUGCAAUAUUAACAGUGUGCUUGUUGGCAUUGCAAGUUUGUUAGGCCAGGCAAACUAUUACUUUCAAUAGUUAGAAAAAACGAAAAAUAACUACUAUUUUGACAAAUUCCUAUAAAUGACAAAUAGAGUGAUCUUUUGAACAGUUAUUAGUGCACAGCUAUAUAUUCAAAUUGUUGAUAGUUUCAAUAUACAAUUGCUUGAAUCUGUUUAAAAGAGAGAAUACAUAUAAGUUCAACUCUUCCACCUUUUCUUUUCGAAUUUCUUUGGGAUGGUGGGUGACAUGAAAAUGCCUACAAGACAUAAUACUAUAAUAGGAAUAUUAGGUUGUACUUCACGUAUAAAGAGGAAUUCAGACUCACUUAAAUUUUACAUGUUUGUUUAUGCAAACAUGUAUGCAGAUAUGUGCAGGUCUGUGUCUAUAACUAAAUAAUCAUUUUAAUAUGUGGCCCUUUGAUUAGAUUGUCUAAGGUUUGAUUUUCAUAAACAAAAGAUUUGGCAAACCAUUUUCCUACAUGAGAAUGGAUGUUAACUAUACCUAAUUUUCUUUUGUUUAUAUUUCUUGAGAUAAAUGGCUUCUUUUUUUUUUGGUGAUUGCGGCAGGAGAAACUGAAGGAAAUAGAGCGAGCUUUUCGUAAGCGGAAAGAAAGAGAAGAACAAGAAGUAGAGAGGGUGCGAUCAAAAGCUCGUAGAAAGGAAGCUGUUGAGUCUUAUCAAGCUUUACUUGUUGAAACAAUUAAAGAUCCUCAGGUAGGUUUUCAUAUUCCUUUGGUGUUGUAAUUCAGAAUAUGAAGGAUAAAGAAGGAUUUUUCUCCCUAUUCAACUACCCAUCCAAGAGCAUUUGGCUUCAGAAUACUUGUUUUUUUUUUCUAUGAAAAAGCAAGAGAUGAAAAUUGUUGUUCUAAAUUCUGCCUUAUUUCAUGAGAUCUAGAAGCGCAACUUUCUCUCUAUCCAUUUCCCUAGCGCUCUUUUUUUACUUCUUUCAAAGGGGAAUGAAGGCCUAACUUAGAAGUUGUUGCUCAAUCGAAAGGAUAUAACACAUACGAAACGUUAGCUUCGCUGACUUUCUGAGGUAUAACCCUCUUUUCCUAAAGAUCCUCUCAUUUUGCCACUAUAUCUCACUGUGGCCACCCUUGUGGAGAAGAUUACAGGGCCAAUCUCUUCUGGCUCACUUCGCUUGGCAUUCACAGUUGUGAGGUUGCACAANNNNNNNNNNNNNNNNNNNNNNNNNNNNNNNNNNNNNNNNNNNNNNNNNNNNNNNNNNNNNNNNNNNNNNNNNNNNNNNNNNNNNNNNNNNNNNNNNNNNCAGGCAGCCCGGCCCGGCCCGCAGGCCUGAGCCAUCUUUGCCAGGUCUACCUUUGAGGCUUAAACGGUCCCAAUUUGGCUUAAUACAUCCUACCCAUUUAUAGUUCAAAUAUAUGCUAAAAAAUACUUUUAUUAGUUCAUUUAGAUAAGUUAGGACCUUACUAUCCUUAAACUUUACUUUUAGAAAUAUACUACAAAAACUUAAGUUAUGAUUUUUGAAGCACCUUUGAGGUUUUGUAGAAUUUUCUACGAUAGACUUUUGAACCUAUAAUUUGUGCAUUUUUAUAUACCAAAGUAUUUUUGUAUUUGUUUAGGUUUCCAAGUAAGCCUCUUUAUGCUUCUUGAAACUAAUGCCCAAGCUAGGCCAUUAUUUACAUUUUUGAGUUUACUAGUUUUAGUCAAAUCUUGCCAAUUUCAUUUCUAGCCACCUUGGUUCAUUCCAACACUUGAAUUAUAUCUAGUUAGAACUAGUUCUAGCAUUCCUUUAGGUUUCCUAAGCAUAGAUUGGGUUUUGACUCUCUAAAGCUAGCUUUUCCAAGUUUUUACACACUAACUUCUCAAGUUUUUGUAUACAUUAACGUUCCAACACUUGGAAUAGCCUAACAUACCUCUAACUCACUUGUCUAAGGUGUCCAAACUGAUUUUCAGGUAAAAUAGAAAAAUCUCAAAUUUUCAUACUAGACAAAUUUGCAAAAAACUGCAAUUUUAGUGAUUUUCCAUGCUAGUUUGGUGAUUUGUUUAAACUUCUUGGUUAAGCCAAGCGCUUAACCACUAGGCCCAACUUCUAGAUCAUACUUCAAAGUAUUUUAAUCAAGGUUUAGGUUUAUUGUUCAUGCCCAUUAAGCUUUCCAAAAUAGGGUUCAAACUUAGCCAUUUUCUCACUUUUUUUACAACUGUUUUUAAACUUUUUCUAAAUUUUUCUAGUUUGGCCACUAGGAUAGUCUAGUCAUGUGUAUUUAAGUUACUUAAGGAUACUUUUAGCAUCACCGCACUUUAUUUAAUCAUCUAGCCCAUUUUAAUCUAUCAAAGCUCACUUUAGGCUUGAAAAAGAGAUCUUAACUUAGUUUUCUUGAUAACUUUGGUCUUGGAACUGAUUGGAAACCAUUAUAAGCAUACAUUAGCAACUUUAUAUGAGUUCAUUACAGCCCUCUAAGUUCAGGUGCUAACAAUCACCAAAAACAGUCCACUAUUUAUCUUAAAAUGUGAUUUUUAACAAGUCUAAUGAUCAAAACAGUUUAGACUUGGUUUCUUUAGCUUGAGUAUCCUACUUAGGUCAUAUUUUAGCUAUUGGAACUUGUCUACAUAGUCCAGAUAUGGUAGUUCUUCAUUUAGGCGCUAAUUGUUCUUUAAAGCUUAUUUUCAUUAAUUUUUAAGCAAGAAUUUGCACAACACAGCAUGUAGACCUUAACUAACUUAGGGAACAACUUUUACAUGCUUCUUAUGGACUUUUUAUGGCCCCCUAAUUGACUCAUAUGUUUAGGUUCUGGACUUGAUCAAAACAGUUCCCAAAACUUGAAUUUAAGCACAGUUUUGACUAUAACUUUCUAAACAGUCCACAAGUAGGCAAAAUAAACCUUAGUAUUCAAACAACUUUUAAAACAGAUAAUAACCUAACCCUAUAUCCAUUAUCAUGCUUGCAUCAGUUAGCUAACUUCUUCAUAUCCAAAACAGCCUAUACAAUGCAUUUUAGGCAUGAUAUAGUACUAAAUCCACAUAACAGUCUUAAGACUUCACAACAAGCAUUAUCAUAUUAUAUAUUGACUAUAUAUACUAUAUUCAUGCUUAGAACACAUAAGUAUGCAAGGUGUUAUACUCAAAACAGCCUUCUAUAGAUUUAAAUUGCAUAAGAAACAUGUUUUAACAAUUUAAUUAGCAAAAUAACAUGGUUAUGUAACACAUGAACAUGGGCUAACCUUUUACAUAAAAUUUAACAUGCAUAGCUUUGAUUUGGAUGGUUUAAAACAGGUCAUACCUUGACCAUCCACCAACAGUCCACAAAUAAACCAUAACCAAGCCAUUUAGCUAUCACACAAGCACACCAAAACAGUGGCAAAGUCUGGCCUGUUUUAACAGGCCCAGACUGCCCUAUUUUUGCUCCUUUACUAACAGAAAAGUUACAUAAUUACUUUAUCCCUAAUCUUUAAAGUUUAGCACAUUUAGACACCAUAUAUAUAUAACAUGAAAACAACCUUUGCAGCAUGACAACUUAAACAUAAACAAGUUCCUAAUUAACAGUCAAUUUAUUUGGUUUAGUUCAUUAACAAAGCUAUCAUAGUGUGAAAUUGGUUUUAAAAAUAGAAUAUACUUAAGUGUAGAGCAUAUUUGAAGUAUAGAUGCAUCUUAUAUUAGAAAAUAGACAUGCUCUUGGACUCUAUUCACAACUAGUAUACAUGGUGCUAAAUCAUUCCUUAUCAAGUCAUCUAAGCUAGCAUACAUGUUAUCAAACAGUGGCUUGGUCUGGCCUGUUUCAAAUAAGCACAGACUGCCCUGUUUGCCCCUUUUUUGGCUGACUUGCAAUGCAUAGACUCGCUACUAUUAACCUUCAAGGUUUGGUACUUUUAGAUACUUUAUUAAAGUAUAAAAUCCACACCAAAAACAUGACAAUAGUUAUAUCACAAGCUUCAAAUAACAGUCAAAAUAACUUAUUUUGCUCAUAUAUAAAGCUAUCAUUUAAGAUUGUUUACACAACUUACACAAAAUAUAUAGCACAUAGCAUAAGGAAGUAUUUUAAGCAUAUAUAUAAUCGCUCCGUUUCAUUCUUAACCUGCUUCCCAAAACAGUACCCAAAGUUGCUUUAAUGUGAUAAAAUCUCAACCACUGUUUUAGCCUAAAAAUGCACUUUGCUUGCAGUCAACAUGCUAAAUCACUUUAAUCAUCAAUACAUGAAAUACAGAAUUCAAUUUCCAGCUUUGAGUUUGCCUAAUAUCCGACUUUUAGACAUAACAGUCCACUUGGGACUUUUGUCAAACAUGUUGUGUCCACAGUGCUAAGUUACUAAUUUCAUAGCUAUAGGUUUAUAUCAAAAACCCAUAAUAACAUCCUUAUUACUCCACAGCCCAGCCUAUCUCCUUGUGCCUAAAUUCAGUCCAUGACAAUAGCAUAUCAGUCAUUUAAUUACUACAACAGUAACAUAGCAACUAAAAGAAAAUUAAUGUAACAGUCCUUCAAGUCCAUGCCCAGCUAUUCGGCCAUUACAGUCUAGCUCCUUAACAAGGAUGGAAUAAAAAAGGAAUGGAAGGGGAUCGGAAAACUUACCUUAAUAGCUCAAAGAUUGCAAAUGGUUGUUGAUCAAUUCCUUAUCCUCCUCAGUCAGACUCCCUUCUCCUCUAUUUAAGUGUGUUUCGGUUUUUGAAGCUCAGUUAGUAGUAUACCAACAGAAAUUGAGGUACUUUGUAUGGCUAUAUGUAGAUAAGGAAGAAGGGGCUAGUCAUCAUGGCUCUAUUGCUGGCUUUCUUCAUCCUCUGCCUAGCUAUAUUGUGGCCUCAUUCAGCCCCCUGACACAGCAGUCAGUUGGCCUCUACUAAUCUUAGCUAAUACACCAUACUUGGCCCCUACAUUAGCUAUCUUACCCCCUUGUCUCUUGCAGUAACUUGACCCCUACCAGCCUCCUAUAGCUUAGCCUAGCAUCUAACUAAAUACUAACCAACUAAUUGAUUUCUCCCUUGUAACCAACUAUGCUAUCUACUAACUAAUAAGACUCAGCUUAUUUCACUCAACGUGGGCUGGAAUGGACAAUGAAAU
rnacentral:lncRNA from 1 species